rnacentral:rRNA from 1 species
AGAGUUUGAUCCUGGCUCAGGAUGAACGCUGGCGGCGUGCUUAACACAUGCAAGUCGAACGGGGUACCCAUGACAGAGGCUUCGGCCAAUUGAUUGGAAUACCUAGUGGCGGACGGGUGAGUAACGCGUGAGCAAUCUGCCUUGGAGUGGGGAAUAACAGUUGGAAACAGCUGCUAAUACCGCAUAAUACAGUUGUGUCGCAUGGCACUGACUGUCAAAGAUUUAUCGCUCUGAGAUGAGCUCGCGUCUGAUUAGCUAGUUGGUGAGGUAACGGCUCACCAAGGCGACGAUCAGUAGCCGGACUGAGAGGUUGGCCGGCCACAUUGGGACUGAGACACGGCCCAGACUCCUACGGGAGGCAGCAGUGGGGAAUAUUGGGCAAUGGGCGCAAGCCUGACCCAGCAACGCCGCGUGAAGGAAGAAGGCUUUCGGGUUGUAAACUUCUUUCUGAGGGACGAUAGGACGUACCUCAGAUAGCCCGGGCNUACUACNUGCCAGCAGCCGCGGU